UGAAGGACCAUUCUGUUAAUGUUAAAUGCUAUAGUUUUUUAUCUUUACUGAUUUUCGAGUGCCAGCGCAUCACCUGCUCUUCCUGAUUGAUGCCAACAAUAUCCAUGGCAUUUCUGGUCUCCAGAAAUCCGGAAUGUUAAUUACCUCAUGUGGAGCUGAGCAGAGCAUGUAGAAGCAAUGAUAAUUCCGCUCUGGAUCAGACACCUGACAAACACGCGACCGCUCCAGAAGGGGGAAUAAAUUGAUUAACCAAACCAUACAUAUAUCUCAUUCAAAGCGAAACGAGAAGCAAGAUUUUGAAGAACUCCGGGUUCAUGAAGAUAAGCCAGUUUAGUCAUGUCAUCAACACCAGCCGGAGGAGCUUCCGUGUCCUUUGGGUAAAUACUCGACAGGCUCGCCACAAUCUGUUCUUCCCAUUGGUGGUGAUGAUGGUGGCGUCACCGGCUUUGAUCUGGGUGACCUCUCCAUCGAUCCAAGCAAGCUCAGGAUCUUCG